CGGUUGAUCCUGCCGGAGGUUACUGCUAUCAGAGUUCGAUUAAGCCAUGUUAGUCGAGGGUACUUCUUCUUCUUCGGAGGAUGAGGUAACCCGGCGGACGGCUCAGUAACACGUGGAUAACUUGCCCUUGGGUCUGGGAUAACCCCUGGGAAACUGGGGCUAAUACCGGAUAGAGCAUCAAUCGCUGGAAUGCCUGAUGCUCGAAAACUACGGUGCCCAAGGAUAGGUCUGCGGCUGAUUAGGUUGUUGUUGAUGUAAUGGACCAACAAGCCUACGAUCGGUACGGGUUGUGAGAGCAAUAGCCCGGAGAUGGGUUCUGAGAAGAGAACCCAGGUCCUACGGGACGCAUCAGGCGCGAAAACUUUACAAUGUGCGAAAGCACGAUAAGGGAACUCUGAGUGCCUCCUAAGGAGGCUGUUCAGGUGUCUAAAAAGCACUUGAAGGAAGGGCUGGGUAAGACCGGUGCCAGCCGCCGCGGUAACACCGGCAGCCCAAGUGGUAGUCACGCUUAUUGGGUCUAAAGCGUCCGUAGCCGGCUGAGUAAGUUCUUUGGGAAAUUUAACCGCUUAACGGUUAAGCUUUCAGUGAAUACUGCUUAGCUUGGGACCGGGAGAGGUCAGAGGUACCUCAAGGGUAGGGGUGAAAUCCAUUAAUCCUUGAGGGACCACCGGUAGCGAAGGCGUCUGACCAGACCGGGUCCGACGGUGAGGGACGAAGGCUAGGGUCGCGAACCGGAUUAGAUACCCGGGUAGUCCUAGCUGUAAACGAUGCGGGCCAGGUGUUGGCAUUACUGCGAGUGAUGUCAGUGCCGAAGGGAAGCCGUUAAGCCCGCCAUCUGGGGAGUACGGUCGCAAGGCUAAAACUUAAAGGAAUUGGCGGGGGAGCAC
rnacentral:rRNA from 1 species